rnacentral:rRNA from 1 species
UGAUCCUGGCUCAGAACAUACGCUGGCGGCACGCCUAACACAUGCAGGUCGAACGAAGUAGCAAUACUUAGUGGCAGACGGGUGAGUAACAUGUAGGUAUCUGCCCUUUGGCCUGGAAUAACACGAGGAAACUUGUGCUAAUACCGGAUAAGUCUUUACGGAGAAAGCUUUAUGCACCAUUGGAUGAGCCUGCACUUGAUUAGUUUGUUGGUGGGGUAAUGGCCUACCAAGACUGUGAUCAAUAGCUGAUUUGAGAGGAUGAUCAGCCACAUUGGGACUGAGACACGGCCCAAACUCCUACGGGAGGCAGCAGUGGGGAAUCUUGCACAAUGGAGGAAACUCUGAUGCAGCGAUGCCGCGUGAGUGAAGAAGGCCCUUGGGUUGUAAAGCUCUUUCGUCGGGGAAGAAAAUGACUGUACCCGAAUAAGAAGGUCCGGCUAACUUCGUGCCAGCAGCCGCGGUAAUACGAAGGGACCUAGCGUAGUUCGGAAUUACUGGGCUUAAAGAGUUCGUAGGUGGUUGAAAAAGUUAGUGGUGAAAUCCCAGAGCUUAACUCUGGAACUGCCAUUAAAACUUUUCAGCUAGAGUAUGAUAGAGGAAAGCAGAAUUUCUAGUGUAGAGGUGAAAUUCGUAGAUAUUAGAAAGAAUACCAAUUGCGAAGGCAGCUUUCUGGAUCAUUACUGACACUGAGGAACGAAAGCAUGGGUAGCGAAGAGGAUUAGAUACCCUCGUAGUCCAUGCCGUAAACGAUGUGUGUUAGACGUUGGAAAUUUAUUUUCAGUGUCGCAGGGAAACCGAUAAACACACCGCCUGGGGAGUACGACCGCAAGGUUAAAACUCAAAUGAAUUGACGGGGACCCGCACAAGUAGUGGAGCAUGUGGUUUAAUUCGAAGAUACGCGCAGAACCUUACCAACACUUGACAUGUUCGUCGCGACUCUAAGAGAUUAGAGUUUUCGGUUCGGCCGGACGAAACACAGGUGCUGCAUGGCUGUCGUCAGCUCGUGUCGUGAGAUGUUGGGUUAAGUCCCGCAACGAGCGCAACCCUCACUUUUAGUUGCCAUCAUUAAGUUGGGCACUCUAAAAGAACUGCCAGUGAUAAGCUGGAGGAAGGUGGGGAUGACGUCAAGUCCUCAUGGCCCUUACGUGUUGGGCUACACACGUGCUACAAUGGUAUCUACAACAGGAAGCAAGACUGCGAAGUUAAGCAAAUCCCUAAAAGAUACCUCAGUUCGGAUUGCACUCUGCAACUCGAGUGCAUGAAGCUGGAAUUACUAGUAAUCGUGGAUCAGCGUGCCACGGUGAAUGCGUUCCCGGGUCUUGUACACACCGCCCGUCACACCAUGGGAGUUGGUUCUACCUUAAGGCAAGGUUUCAAACCCUUGACCACGGUAUAGUCAGCGACUGGGGUGAAGUCGUAACAAGGUAACC